AUUGAACGCUGGCGGUAUGCUUAACACAUGCAAGUCGAACGGCAGCAUAAUCUUCGGAUUGAUGGCGAGUGGCGGACGGGUGAGUAAUAUAUAGGAAUCUGCCUUGUAGUGGGGGAUAACUAUCCGAAAGGAUAGCUAAUACCGCAUAAUGAUUACGGUUUAAAGCAGGGGAUCUUCGGACCUUGCGCUACAAGUUGAGCCUAUACAAGAUUAGCUAGUUGGUGAGGUAAAGGCUCACCAAGGCGACGAUCUUUAGCUGGUCUGAGAGGAUGAUCAGCCACACUGGGACUGAGACACGGCCCAGACUCUUACGGGAGGCAGCAGUGGGGAAUAUUGGACAAUGGGCGCAAGCCUGAUCCAGCAAUACCGCGUGUGUGAAGAAGGCCUUCGGGUUGUAAAGCACUUUUGUUAGGGAGGAUGGUGAUUUUGGCGAAUACCCAAAGUCAUUGACGCUACCUAAAGAAUCAGCACCGGCUAACUCCGUGCCAGCAGCCGCGGUAAUAC
rnacentral:rRNA from 1 species